GGCGAACGGGUGAGUAACACGUGGGUAGACCUGCCCUUCACUCUGGGAUAAGCCUGGGAAACUGGGAUCUAAUACCGGAUAUUCACUUCUUGUUGCAUGACAGGUGGUGUGAAAGUUUUUUCGGUGGGGUGAUGGGCCCUGCUGGCCAUAUCAGCUUGUUGGUAGGGAGUGAUGGCCUACCAAGGCGACGACGUGGUAGCCUGGUCCUGAGACGGGCGACCGGCCACACUUGGGACUGAGACACUGGGCCAUGACUCCAUACGGGAGGCCAGGCAUGUGGGGGAAUAUUGCGUCAAUGGGCGGAAGCCUGACUGCAGCGACGUCCUGCAGUGGGGGAUGACGUGCCUUCGGGUUGUAAACCUCUUUCGACUUCGACCGAAUGCCUUCGGGUGACGGUAGGGGUGGAAGAAGCACCGGCCAAUUACGUGCCAGCCGCCGCGG
rnacentral:rRNA from 1 species